rnacentral:lncRNA from 1 species
GAAGAGGUUGAAAAUCCAAAAGUUCACAAUGGUUGUCUCCUAAUAACCAAUUUACGGUAGUCACGAUCUUUCAAAAAAAAUGCACGCUAAGUCAAAAAAAAAUUAUGAUGAAAUGACUUAGGAAAAAUUAGGGCAUCCCGGUAGACUGCAAACUUAAAAAACUCAGUCCAGGAAAAAAUUAGGGAUAAAAAAGAAUUUUAAAAAAUUAAGCAAAAAAAGAAAAGCAAGAGAAAA